rnacentral:rRNA from 1 species
CCUACGGGAGGCAGCAGUGAGGAAUAUUGGUCAAUGGGCGCGAGCCUGAACCAGCCAAGUCGCGUGAGGGAGGAAGGCCCUACGGGUUGUAAACCUCUUUUGCCGGGGAGCAACGGGCGCCACGUGUGGCGGCACUGAGAGUACCCGAAGAAAAAGCAUCGGCUAACUCCGUGCCAGCAGCCGCGGUCAUACGGAGGAUGCGAGCGUUAUCCGGAUUUAUUGGGUUUAAAGGGUGCGUAGGCGGAUCGUUAAGUCAGUGGUCAAAUGGAGGGGCUCAACCCCUUACAGCCGUUGAAACUGGCGUUCUUGAGUGGGAGAGAAGUAUGCGGAAUGCGUGGUGUAGCGGUGAAAUGCAUAGAUAUCACGCAGAACCCCGAUUGCGAAGGCAGCAUGCCGGCUUCCAACUGACGCUGAGGCACGAAAGCGUGGGGAUCGAACAGGAUUAGAUACCCCAGUAGUC